rnacentral:rRNA from 1 species
AUACGGAGGGGGCUAGCGUUGUUCGGAAUUACUGGGCGUAAAGCGCACGUAGGCGGUUUGCCAAGUCAGGCGUGAAAUCCCCGGGCUUAACCCGGGAACUGCGCUUGAUACUGGCAGACUAGAGGCCGGGAGAGGGUAGUGGAAUUCCCAGUGUAGAGGUGAAAUUCGUAGAUAUUGGGAAGAACACCGGUGGCGAAGGCGGCUACCUGGACCGGUACUGACGCUGAGGUGCGAAAGCGUGGGGAGCAAACAGGAUUAGAAACCCUAGUAGUCC